AACGAACGCUGGCGGCAUGCCUAACACAUGCAAGUCGAACGAAGCCUUCGGGCUUAGUGGCGCACGGGUGCGUAACGCGUGGGAAUCUGCCCCUUGCUUCGGAAUAACAGUUAGAAAUGACUGCUAAUACCGGAUGAAGUCUUCGGACCAAAGAUUUAUCGGCAAGGGAUGAGCCCGCGUAGGAUUAGGUAGUUGGUGGGGUAAAGGCCUACCAAGCCGACGAUCCCUAGCUGGUCUGAGAGGAUGAUCAGCCACACUGGGACUGAGACACGGCCCAGACUCCUACGGGAGGCAGCAGUGGGGAAUAUUGGACAAUGGACGCAAGUCUGAUCCAGCAAUGCCGCGUGAGUGAUGAAGGCCUUAGGGUUGUAAAGCUCUUUUACCAGGGAUGAUAAUGACAGUACCUGGAGAAUAAGCUCCGGCUAACUCCGUG
rnacentral:rRNA from 1 species